CGCUGAGAUACGAAAGCGUGGGGAUCAAACAGGAUUAGAUACCCUGGUAGUCCACGCCGUAAACGAUGAACACUUGGUGUUGGAGGUAUUGACCCCUCCAGUGCCGAAGCUAACGCGUUAAGUGUUCCGCCUGGGAAGUACGGUCGCAAGAUUAAAACUCAAAGAAAUUGACGGGGGCCCGCACAAGCGGUGGAGCAUGUGGUUCAAUUCGAUGCAACGCGAAAAACCUUACCUGGGUUUGAAGUGCUAGUGAAUACGGUAGAGAUAUCGUAGGCCUUCGGGACACUAGUAUCAGGUGCUGCAUGGCUGUCGUCAGCUCGUGUCGUGAGAUGUCGGGUUAAGUCCCAUAACGAGCGCAACCCUUGUCUUUAGUUGCCAGCAUUCAGUUGGGCACUCUAAAGAGACUGCCGACGUUAAGUCGGAGGAAGGUGGGGAUGACGUCAAGUCCUCAUGGCCUUUAUGUCCAGGGCUACACACGUGCUACAAUGGUCGAUACAAAGGGUUGCGAUACCGCGAGGUGGAGCUAAUCCCAAAAAAUCGAUCUAAGUUCGGAUUGGAGUCUGCAACUCGACUCCAUGAAGUUGGAAUCGCUAGUAAUCGCGGAUCAGAACGCCGCGGUGAAUACGUUCCCGGGCCUUGUACACACCGCCCGUCACACCAUGAAAGCUGUUUGUACCAGAAGUCGCUGUGCUAACCGUAAGGAGGCAGGCGCCCAAGGUAUGAAGAGUGAUUGGGGUGAAGUCGUAACAAGGUAACCAAGGG
rnacentral:rRNA from 1 species